rnacentral:misc_RNA from 1 species
AACAAGGCGUACCUGCGGACCUGCGGAGGGAUCAUUACAGAGUUGCAAGACUCCCUAAACCAUUGUGAACCUACCUUCUACCGUUGCUUCGGCGGGCGGGCCCAGCGCCCCCCCCGGCCCCCCGCGGGCGCCCGCCGGAGGAUACCCAAACUCUUGACAUUAGUGGCCUCUCUGAGUAUUCUUUACUGAAUAAGUCAAAACUUUCAACAACGGAUCU